UCGAAAUUCUCUCUCAUACAGCCAAGCUUAAAUAAUUUUAUACUUGUGAUUAUUUUACGUUUGUUUAAAUAAACGUAUGGUGUACAUAGAAUAUAAUUAAUUAAUAUUUAAACAAUGGUAUAUAAAAUCGCGGAGUAGAAUCAGUGUUGAUCGCGAUAAGAAAUUCAUCUGCAGUUUUUUAUUUUCAUCUACCUCUUAUUAAUUUCACGAGAAUUCCAAGACGCAUUAUCGUGGUACUAUUCGGAUAAUUCGUUUGAAAGAAACGAUUGUUUAUUCAUUUUUCUUUAUGUAACAAUGAUUCUUUUUCUUUUCAAAGAAGAAGGAAAGUAAGCUCCUCGUUGGAAGUUCUUAAAAAGAAAAUCAAAGAACUCAUCGAUCCCAUGACUAUUGUGGUUGCUAUAAAAUAAGUGUGUUUUGAAGACAUCGCAGAACUUCUUUAAGUAAUGGACUAGUUCUACAGCAUAAACUACUUAAAAAAGAAAAAACGCUGGUAAUUUUACCAUCUUAUUAUUUAUUCUUAUUAAUUAUUAAUAUUAAUUUUAUUGUUUUAAGUUUCUUUGUUUCCACGCUCUUGUACGUUCUAUUGCACCUUCUGAGUUUCUUUUUUUUCCGGAAAAACUUUCGGGUGGAGGUUUCUUAAAAAUGAGCUUUUAUGAUUGGAAGAGGCUUUAUUAAAAGAGAUCUUUUAUAGUUAGAUGGAUUUUUUUUUCUUUCUCUUCUCUAGACUGAAUCUAUUCAUCGUUGAAGAGGGAGUUAUGAUUUCGCAUUGAUUUAGAUCUUUAUACGAAUGUUUUUGAAAUAUUUUCCCAUUGUAAAAAGAAGAAAAUGUCUUUUAUCCCGUGUAGAUAAGCUAGAAGAAGGGCAUUGUGGACGAAGUGUGGGCGGAAACUCGCGUGGGUGUUUACAGGCGCGAUUAAGCCCAAGCUUGGUCCCCAAUGUACUUAAGUAGAAUACUCGCGUGGGUGUGUCCAGGUCACUCGCGUGAGUAUUUGUGGGUAUGAUAGGAUCUAAUCUUGGACUCCGUCGUAAGUUGCAGAAUUGCUAAAAUACGAUCGAUCGUGCUUAAUAACUGAAGCUACUGAUGUUGGACGGUCUCGCUAUCUAUUAUCCAAGCUUAAAAUGUCUGCAGUUAGUAUCUGAAUUCUCGCGAAAUAACAGUGAUUUCAGUAUUUAAAUGUUAUUUUGAUGCUGCUUUGAUUGUAUAAUAGUAAUAAUAAUAAUAGUAUCUGUUACCUUUAUCUCAUCGGUCUUCAGAAGAAGUGACCUCUAUGUGCGAGAUUAAUAUAUAAAUAAUAAUAAAUGGAUGAUAUUAUUUUC